rnacentral:rRNA from 1 species
UCGGGAAUUUUGGGCAAUGGGCGAAAGCCUGACACAGCAACGCCGCGUGAAGGAUGAAGUCCCUCGGGAUGUAAACUUCGUAAGAAUAGGAAGAAUAAAUGACGGUACUAUUUGUAAGGUCCGGCUAACUACGUGCCAGCAGCCGCGGUAAUACGUAGGGACCAAGCGUUGUUCGGAUUUACUGGGCGUAAAGGGUGCGUAGGCGGCAUAUCAAGUCACUUGUGAAAUCUCCGGGCUUAACUCGGAACUGCCAAGUGAUACUGAUGUGCUAGAGUGCAGAAAGGGCAACUGGAAAUCUUGGUGUAGCGGUGAAAUGCGUAGAUAUCAAGAGGAACACCUGAGGCGAAGGCGAGUUGCUAGGCUGACACUGACGCUGAGGUACGAAAGUUAGGGGAGCGAACGGGAUUAGAUACCCAGGUAGUCCCUGAG